rnacentral:rRNA from 1 species
UGGCUCAGAUUGAACGCUGGCGGCAUGCCUUACACAUGCAAGUCGAACGGCAGCACGGGUGCUUGCACCUGGUGGCGAGUGGCGAACGGGUGAGUAAUAUAUCGGGAACGUACCUUAUCGUGGGGGAUAACGCAGCGAAAGCUGCGCUAAUACCGCAUACGCCCUGAGGGGGAAAGCGGGGGACCGUAGGGCCUCGCGCGAUUAGAGCGGCCGAUAUCUGAUUAGCUUGUUGGUGGGGUAAAAGCCCACCAAGGCGACGAUCAGUAGCUGGUCUGAGAGGACGAUCAGCCACACUGGGACUGAGACACGGCCCAGACUCCUACGGGAGGCAGCAGUGGGGAAUUUUCCGCAAUGGGCGAAAGCCUGACGGAGCAAUACCGCGUGAGGGAUGAAAGCCUGUGGGUUGUAAACCUCUUUUCUCAAGGAAGAAGUUCUGACGGUACUUGAGGAAUAAGCAUCGGCUAACUCUGUG